AUUGAACGCUGGCGGCAUGCCUUACACAUGCAAGUCGAACGGCAGCACGGGAGCAAUCCUGGUGGCGAGUGGCGAACGGGUGAGUAAUAUAUCGGAACGUGCCCAGUCGUGGGGAUAACGUAGCGAAAGCUACGCUAAUACCGCAUACGAUCUAUGGAUGAAAGCGGGGGAUCGCAAGACCUCGCGCGAUUGGAGCGGCCGAUAUCAGAUUAGGUAGUUGGUGAGGUAAAGGCUCACCAAGCCGACGAUCUGUAGCUGGUCUGAGAGGACGACCAGCCACACUGGGACUGAGACACGGCCCAGACUCCUACGGGAGGCAGCAGUGGGGAAUUUUGGACAAUGGGCGCAAGCCUGAUCCAGCAAUGCCGCGUGC
rnacentral:rRNA from 1 species